AAUCCCUUGGGCUUCUUGUGAAAAUGCAGGUCCUGAUUCAGCAGGUCUGGGGCAAAAGGAGGCUGUGGUCCAAACACCAGCCCCCCCAAGUGAUGCAGAAGCUGCUGGUCCCCAGACUGUGCUUUGAGUAGCAAGGGCUGAGAAGAGGACUCGACUCGUAAUACACAUGUCCUAGAAGUUGUUACUACCACCAAAAGUGACUCAUCCAGUCCCCCUGUGAUGAAUGUCUAGAGUUUCCCGUCUUUCACUCUUACAAACAGGGCUGCAGUGCAUAUGUCCUUGGACCCUUGAGUGAGUGUAACUCUAGAAACAGUUCCUAAAAGUGACAUUGUCUGUUUGUAGUUUUGAUCAGUAUUGUCAAUUUGCCCUCCUGAGAGGUCAUUCCAUUUGUACAAGGGCACCGGUGCCCCUUCUUUGUUGGAAGGAAGAUGCUCAGUUGUUCAGUCGUAUCCAACUCUGUGUGGCCCCAUGGACUGUAGCCUGCCAGGCUCCUCUGCCCUUGGAAUUUUACAGGCAAGAAUACUGGUGUGGUGUUUCCUCCUCCAGGGGAUCUUCCUGACCCAGGGAUCAAACAUGCAUCCUCCGCAGCGGCAGGCGUAUUCUUCAUCAGCUUUCAAACCUACCUGUCUUGGCUAAUCCGAUAGAUGACACAUGGGAUCUCAUAGUUUUGCUUUGCUUUUCUCUCCUCUGAGUGAGGCUGAGCCCUUCCUCUAAAUUUGCCAUUUCCUCCUUGUCUGUCUCCUCUGUCCAUUGCUUGCAGAGGGUGUUGGGCUUUUUCUGCUUUACAUUUUAGGGACAUUUGGUCCUUUGUGAUUGAGCUGUAAAUAUUGUUCCAGUUUUUACUUUUUCUUUUACUGUGGUUAAUGCUGGGUUUUGCCAAGUAGAUUUAGACAGCAUAGAUACAUUUUAUCAUUUUUUCUCCAGAAUUAUCUAUGGCCACAUGCUAUAUGGGAAUGGUCACAGAGUUUAGGGCCACGCCUGUCUUCUUUCCAGUCUAGUCUUCUUCCUACUGACGGUUUUCCCAAGCUUCCCUCCCACCCUAAACUUUCCUUCCCCUUUCCGUGCCCCUAACACUUUAUAGUGGGGUCCUAGAAGGUACUGUAGUUUCCUGUUGUUCUAUACCUGAUUGGCAAGCUAUGCAUGGUGGACCAAAUUCAGCCUCCAAGCUGUUUUGGGGUGCCUGUGAGCUAAGAAUAGUUUUCAAAUUUUUAAAUGGCUGAGAAAAAAUUUUUAAAGACUAUUUUGUGACAUAAAAGUAUAUGAGAUCUACAUUUUGGUGUCCAUAAAUAAAGUUUUAGUAUUCCACAGUCAUACUAACUGGUUUAUGCCAUCACCCGAGCCUGCUUUCGUGCUGUAACAACACAGUGACGCUGUGGCCCAGAAAUCUGGAAAUACUAUUUGCAGAAAUGCUGUUUAUAGAAGGAGUUUGCCACUACCAGAAUUUCUCAAACCGUGUUCUGUGAGGAAUCAUGACCAGUUACGUGCAAGAAAGGCUAGGCUGGAUGAACUAAGCAGGUUUCACUGCAGGACUUAUCAGAGCCUUUAUUUUGCCAAUGCCCAUUGUGAAUCUCCUGAUAGGGUCAACAGCGUAGAUGAAUUCCAAACUUAUUUGGCAAUAGGUUCAUUCAGGUCUUCUUUGUUCUUAAAAGUCCCUGUGGAACAUAUUGGGUAUGGGGCACAAAUGAGGCUGAGGGAGACUUGAUUGCUUUCUUCAGAGUGACCUUUUCCCUGAACUUGUGGAUACGGGUUUGACCUGCUAAUUUGACCUCAGUGGGUCUGGUGCUCCUCUGUCCUGCCUACCCUUCUGGCUCAGGAUGGCUUAGGUUUGGUUUUUCUCUUAAGGGACACUCAACCCAGUGUCAAGCCUGCCAACCCCUUUCUCCCCCACACCCAGGGUCUUUGUCCCCCACCUUUUGCUGAGGCUUGGCAUUUAUUGAGGUGUCAUAGCCCGAUGGUUAGAGCCUGGGCUCAGGAGCUGGCUAACUCCUCAGGUUUGAGUCCCAGCUCUGCUGUUUCUAGCCACAUGACACAGGGUGAGUCACUUAAUGUCCCUCAUCUGGAAAAUGGGGUUAAUAAUAGCUUCCACCUCUCAGGGUGGUUGUGAAGGAUUAGAUGAGCUCAUGCCAGUGAAAAGCUUAAUUGCUUAACAUGUGGUAGCUGCUAAGCACAAAGUAAGUGCUUUCUGCCAUUGUCUCCUAUAAUCCUCACCAUUACCAGUUGGGUGGAUGCUAUUAUUAACAUCUCCAUGGGACAGGCGAGGGAACUGAGGCCCCUGAGGGGUGUUGAGUCUCUAUAUUCCAUCAGCUGCCUCCAUGCAGGAGGAGUAUAGCCUAGUGGCCGCAAGAUGCUGUCUAGAGUUAGGGUAAGGGUCUGAUGCCGGGCCCCUGACUUGGCGCCUCACCUCCUCCCCUCCUAAUGGGGCCCUGGGGCCGGGCAUGGAUGCUGCCGCCCUGGGACCUGACUUGUCCAGGUGCUGUGCACACUGAGGCAGCAAGUUUGGUCUGGUUGCCCGAGUCAGAGAAGGCCCACCCACCCACACCAUCUGGGAGGGGCAGAAUAUUCAGUGGGCAGCUGGGCAUGUGAGUUUUUGGAUCUUUGAAGGGGGGAUGAGAUAAGAAGCGAGAGAGCCCAGCAUUUCUGAGACCACAGGCUCCUGGCUGGGAAACUUUUCCUCCACGGGGUUCCUUCUGUAUCAGAAUCCUCAGGGUGGCAGGCACAUUGAACAUACAGAUUCCCAGGCUCCAUCCCCAGACCCUCUGAUGGCGAGUCCCCGAAGAUGGGCCCAGGAAUCUGCCUUUUCUCACAAGCUCCUCAGUAACUUGGAAUCUGGCCCAGUGAUAAGAUUCUGGUGAAGUCAUGCCCUGUGUUUUGGGGUACGCUGUUUAUAAGAUGGUGCUCAGGCUGGCCACAUCUAAACGGGACCUCCAGCUUCCUGACCGCCCCAGAGCUCCAAGACCAGAAGGGCCCCUUCUUCACCCACCCACCCACCUCUGCCUUCUGGAGGCAGACUCGGGCUCGUGCUGGACUUCUAUGUACAUAAAGGGCCUCGGGCUUCUCUCCAGGGCCGCAAGAGUACAUAUCCCUAUUCUUGAUCAUCCCAGAUGGGAUCAAAUGGGAUUGCGAGGCACUUAAAGGAUUGAUUGAGGGCAUA